UACGUAGGGUGCAAGCGUUAAUCGGAAUUACUGGGCGUAAAGCGUGCGCAGGCGGCUUUGCAAGACAGAUGUGAAAUCCCCGGGCUCAACCUGGGAACUGCAUUUGUGACUGCAUGGCUAGAGUGCGGCAGAGGGGGAUGGAAUUCCGCGUGUAGCAGUGAAAUGCGUAGAUAUGCGGAGGAACACCGAUGGCGAAGGCAAUCCCCUGGGCCUGCACUGACGCUGAGGCGCGAAAGCCAGGGGAGCAAACGGG
rnacentral:rRNA from 1 species